rnacentral:rRNA from 1 species
GCAAUACGUCAGUGGCAGACGGGUGAGUAACGCGUGGGAACGUACCUUUUGGUUCGGAACAACACAGGGAAACUUGUGCUAAUACCGGAUAAGCCCUUACGGGGAAAGAUUUAUCGCCGAAAGAUCGGCCCGCGUCUGAUUAGCUAGUUGGUGAGGUAAUGGCUCACCAAGGCGACGAUCAGUAGCUGGUCUGAGAGGAUGAUCAGCCACAUUGGGACUGAGACACGGCCCAAACUCCUACGGGAGGCAGCAGUGGGGAAUAUUGGACAAUGGGCGCAAGCCUGAUCCAGCCAUGCCGCGUGAGUGAUGAAGGCCCUAGGGUUGUAAAGCUCUUUUGUGCGGGAAGAUAAUGACGGUACCGCAAGAAUAAGCCCCGGCUAACUUCGUGCCAGCAGCCGCGGUAAUACGAAGGGGGCUAGCGUUGCUCGGAAUCACUGGGCGUAAAGGGUGCGUAGGCGGGUUUCUAAGUCAGAGGUGAAAGCCUGGAGCUCAACUCCAGAACUGCCUUUGAUACUGGAAGUCUUGAGUUCGGGAGAGGUGAGUGGAACUGCGAGUGUAGAGGUGAAAUUCGUAGAUAUUCGCAAGAACACCAGUGGCGAAGGCGGCUCACUGGCCCGAUACUGACGCUGAGGCACGAAAGCGUGGGGAGCAAACAGGAUUAGAU